UUUAUGCCACACUGUCAUGGAUACAAAAUUAUUGGCAAUCAUUGGUCUGGAGGCAAUGCAACCAAACCAGAUGUGUACCUUGGUGAGCUUGCCUGCUUUGGUGAGACAGGCAUUUCAGAUGGAACAAGCACACAUUUACACAUUACAUAUGUUGGCAAAAUACAUUAGUGUGUUUGCUUCUGAGAAGACUGGUUCAUUUCUUUUCUUUUUUUAUGUGUGGUUACAGUACAUACACCAACUUCCUGCUCAUCCUUUUGUGUGUCUGUGUCUGUGUCUGUGUGAGUGUCUGUGUGUCUGUGAAAGAGAACAAGAGAGAGCUAAUUACCGCCAAAGGCCAGGGCAGAAAGUUCAACUUGCUCCGACCCCCAAAGAACAGCAAGCAGAAGAGGAAGAUGGUGAGAAGCCAUAAGAUGACGCUGACGAACAUCACCCAGCCGUAGGCCGGGAUGUUGGAGUAGCCGCUAGCUGCAAUCAGGGCCCACACCAGCAGCCCCAGGACCUGGGGAACAACACCCAGAGUCAGGAACAACCGUGCCCCGUGUAGCACAGAACCAGGAGGAGCCUGAAUCCUCCUCCAGUCAUAUUAACCCAAGCUGAACAGGACAUGUGGUGACAGCACACCAGGCACAGACACACCUGAGAGAGUCAAGAGUAGCACGGCGAGUUUCCUUCAUUUCUGAAAUGUGUUCUGUGAAGGCUGCACCCAGACAGCCCCCAGACAUCAAAUUUAAGGAGGCCCAACGACUGCUAAUGGUUGUAUAAGAAAUAUUUUUUUCAAUAAAACCUAUAUGAGCAUGCAAA